GAUGAACGCUGGCGGCGUGCCUAACACAUGCAAGUCGAGCGAACGGACGAGAAGCUUGGGCUCCUGAUGUUAGCGGCGGACGGGAGCGUAACACGUGGAUAACCUACCUAUAAGAAUGGGAUAACUAUGGGAAACAGGAGCUAAUAACGGAUAAUAUUUCGACCUGCAUGGUUCAAAAGUGAGAGUAGGUCUUGGGGUCAGUAAAAGACGGAUCCGCGCUGCAUCAGCUAGUUGGUAAGGUAAAGGCUUAGCAAGGCAGGGAUGCAAAGCCGACCUGAAAGGGUGAUCGGCCACACUGGAUGUGAGACACGGUCCAGACUCCUGCGCGGGGCCGCAGUCGGGACUCUUCCGCGAUGGACGAGAGCCGGACAUUGCAACGCCGCGUGAGUGCUGAAGGACUUCUGAUCCUAGAGCUCUGUUAUUCUGAAGGAUCAUAAGCUUUUGUAACCGGGCUGAUCAUGACGGUACCGAAUCAGAAAGCCCCGGCUAACUACGUG
rnacentral:rRNA from 1 species